ACUAAAGUGGCAGAAGAAGUGCAAUAGAGUUAAGUUCUAUAUAUAAAAUGAAUUUUCUUUAGUU
rnacentral:tRNA from 1 species